CUUUUUCUUCGAUUAGAACUCUAAGAAAAAAUUACGCUGUUAUCCCUAAGGUAAUUCUUCUUUUAAUCUUUAAAAAAGGAUCAUUUAAAUCAUUUAUUUAUGAAAAUUAAAUAAAAAAAGUUAAUUAAAUUUUUCAAUCACCCCAAUUAAAUACUUAUUUAAUAAAGAAAACCUAUAUUUCCAUAUUUUAACUUUAAAAAUUAAAUAUUAAACUCUAUAGGGUCUUCUCGUCUUUUAUAAAAAUUUAAGCUUUUUAACUUAAAAAUAAAAUUCAAAAUUUUUAGAUUGAGACAGCUAUUUUUUCAUCAAACCUUUCAUUCCAGCUUUCAAUUAAAAAACUAAUGAUUAUGCUACCUUAGCACAGUCAAAAUACCGCGGCCGUUAAA
rnacentral:rRNA from 1 species